GACGAACGCUGGCGGCGUGCCUAAUACAUGCAAGUCGAGCAGAGAUCUAAAAGCUUGCUUUUAAAUCUUAGCGGCGGACGGGUGAGUAACACGUGGGCAACCUGCCCUGUAGACUGGGAUAACUUCGGGAAACCGAAGCUAAUACCGGAUAAUCUUUUUGGCCUCAUGGCUAGAAAGUAAAAGUUGGGUUUACCUAACACUACAGGAUGGGCCCGCGUCGCAUUAGCUAGUUGGUAAGGUAACGGCUUACCAAGGCGACGAUGCGUAGCCGACCUGAGAGGGUGAUCGGCCACACUGGGACUGAGACACGGCCCAGACUCCUACGGGAGGCAGCAGUAGGGAAUCUUCCGCAAUGGACGAAAGUCUGACGGAGCAACGCCGCGUGAACGAUGAAGGCCUUCGGGUCGUAAAGUUCUGUUGUUAGGGAAGAACAAGUACCGUUCAAAUAGGGCGGUACCUUGACGGUACCUAACGAGAAAGCCACGGCUAACUACGUG
rnacentral:rRNA from 1 species